AAAGAUGGGACCAAACAGUGGCAGCAGGUACACAGGAACAGUUAAAUCAGUAAUUAUCAUUUUUCACACAACACUGGGUUCAACAAUCAAGCAAUCACCUGAAUCAGCAAUACCAGCAGUUCUCAUUAAGUCAGAACUGUGUUUACUCUUGCCUGGGUGUUGUGAAUUAAUUUACCAUUCUGUCAUCAUUCAAAAACUGUCAACACAAGCUAUGAGUCAUUUUAACACAUUCACCAAGCACCACUGCCUUUUCAGAAUUAGUUUUCCAAGAAUCCUGCAACAAAUCAUAAAAUAACAGUUCCAUUUUGGUAUUUAGCCUUAGCUGGUGAAGGCUGGGUUCUCCACAAAUUAAUGCAUUAAAACAUAAUGCGGUGAUCAUAAAGUGCUAUGCAACUUGGCUCAUAUUAUCCAUUACUGUGUUGAGCCUGACAAUGAAUUCCCAGAAAAUGGUAGCAUGUAGUCCCUACUCUUAAUUUACCCAACCAGAUAGUUUACAGCUUGUUGAGACCUCGUGGGUAGUGCCACUAGAUUGUGAGGGAUUUAAAACUACUGUACAUCUCAACUGCUUAAGCUUCUGGGGUUCCCUGUUGGUACUUAAACAGCACAGUCCUUUCAGGUUUAUGACAUAACUAUUUCUGCUGAGAAGCCCAAAAAACAUUACUUUUUCUGGCAUGCGCUAGGAUAGAAAUCCUGGCCCCCUAGUCUGUGGUCCAAAUAAUUGGUUUGAAUUUGGUAUGUGGGUGUCGCUCGUAAACAUCUAUGCCAAUCAUUGUCUGUGCUUAAUUAUUGGUAAUUACUUUGUCAAUAUAGAUGAUUAGGGUGGUGCAAUCAGUAUAAUUGACAUGUGGCUUGACACAAAGACUAUUAUCUCUUGUUGGCAGAGGACUGAAAUACAAGCAAGAAAGCAAGCACAGAAGAAUUUCUGAAGUGUAUUAAGCUCUGUGUCGAUCCUGGUCCUGAACUUUGCCAGGAGCUCUGGAUUUCAUGCAUGCUGGUAACUUAGAGUUGUAAAAUUGCAAGCAACUGUAGAUGGAGACUACUGUGGGUCCAACUGG